UACGUAGGGGGCAAGCGUUGUCCGGAUUUAUUGGGCGUAAAGAGCGUGUAGGCGGUUUGGUAGGUCCGCUGUGAAAACUCGAGGCUCAACCUCGAGACGCCGGUGGAAACCAUCAGACUAGAGUCCGGAAGAGGAGAGUGGAAUUCCUGGUGUAGCGGUGAAAUGCGCAGAUAUCAGGAGGAACACCCGUGGCGAAAGCGGCUCUCUGGGACGGUACUGACGCUGAGGAGCGAAAGCGUGGGUAGCAAACAGG
rnacentral:rRNA from 1 species